CUUUAACUCACGAGUUCUACUUUUGUGGUUUUUCUUUUUUCUAUUCUCUCCUUCUCACUGGGAAGAUGGGGAAAAGUGAGCAAAUGACUGUGUCAACAGUAAGACUCUGCAGGCUGAUGAGUUUCUGCUAGAUGGUUCCCCUGCCCCAGGGUUGUUAACAGGACUGAAACUGGCAACUUUUCGUCUUCCAGUGAGACUCAUGCAACUGUACUGCCU